CCAGUCUUUAAACAGAGGCCAGAGGUCAUGUUGCCUGUCAUCACAAAUGCCAAUGAGCACAAACGGGAAGUGAGUCUGUAGUGUGCGCUUUAUCGCUGUGGAAGCAGCAGAUUAACAUCUUAGAGAUCCUGCCUAUGUCUCGUGUCUGGUCAGCAGAUAUCUCAGGAGUGGAAGCAAAGGCUUCCCAGAGGUUCGUCUUGUCCCUCUGGUCAAAGUGUUCCAUCUCCUCUCCAGAAGUCAUCCUGUUGAGGUCCUGAGUCCAAUUCCCAGCAACCACAUGGUGGCUCACAACCAUCUGUAAUGGGAUCUGAUGCCUGUGUCUGAAGACAGCUACAGUGUACUCAUUAAAAAGAAAAAAAAAAAAAAAAAAAAAAGCAGGCUGGGCAAGCCAUGAUGAGCAAGUCAGUAAGCGGUGGCCAUCAGCUCCUGCCUCCAGGUUCCUGCCCUGACUUCCGUCUGUGACUGACAGGGUGAGCUGAGAUAAACCCAUUUCUCCCCAAGUUGCUUUGGUCACGAUGCUUCACCACAGCAAUAGUGACCCUAUCUAGGACAAAAUGCUUUAUCUUUUAUUUUCAUCAGAGAAUUGUCUUAAUCUUUUGUUAGAUCUUAAACAACUUUUAGGACAUUGCGCAAGAACAACACGCAAAAUGUGACUCUUGAAAACCUGUAUGAUCUUCUCUUCUGCUGCUAGGGUUAGCUCUAGACUUCUUGGGAACCCCUUGAUCAUCUUUCAGAGCCUUAAAGGUCAGCAACAGUGGACACCCAAAAAUUUUUAUUGCCCCAUUUUGAGGCAGGAUAGAAACAGUGAAAAUCUGGGAACAGGAGAAAGGGACAGGAACCCCUCGGGUAAGCAUCUGACCAAAGCCUCCCACGGGCAGAGAAUUGAGAAGUCCAUCAUAGUUAAUGAAUGCAAGCCUUUCUCUCUCUAACUGCUUUCAAUCCUCUAAGAACUUCACCAGCAACCCCAUUUGUGGGGGAAAAGAUACCAACUAAACUUUUAACAUCCCAAGUGGUUCCUAUUCUCCCUAUCUCUGAUUAUAAUUCCAUACAGGCCAUGUCUAGAGAGCCACCUCCCUUAUUUCAAUUAUCAAAAGAAAAAGAGAAAAAAAUCUUAACAGCCUUUCGGGGUGCAACUUGAGAAUCACCCAAAAGAUCUGUACUGCGAAUACUGAGAAAAUUGUUACUGUCCUUUGACCCAAUACCUAAACUUUUAUAUGUCUCACUCCGUCUCUCUUUUCAGAAGCUUCUUAUGAUGAAUAAUGAGGAGACAGCUUUGGGUAGAUGGUGGAGAAGGAAGAAGGCCAGUUACCUUGUGUUGUGGUUUGUCCUGAAGUUAUCUGUAUUUUGAUGCUAAUUCCGCUGCCCCGAGGACAGCUGCGUAGUCACUACUCAGGAAUCCUCUUCAUCUGUCUGUGGUUGAGAAGGAAAAGCGAUGUGGAAUCUGCUCUCCUUCAUCUGUCUUUGGUGAGCUCACGGAAGCUCCCAUCUGAAUCAGUUCGGUUUUGUGGUGAUCUUGCGGCGGCCACUUGUUUUUGUCUCUGUGCGCACUUCUGUUUUUUUUGUCUGUUAAUCUUUUUUUUUUCUUUUCUUUUCUUUUUUUCGGAGCUGGGGACCGAACCCAGGGCCUUACGCUUGCUAGGCAAGCGCUCUACCACUGAGCUAAAUCCCCAACCCCCUGUUAAUCUUUUGAUUGUCUUUCUGUGUGACUAAAUGCUAUUUGUCCUCUUCGGUGGACCUCUAUUUUCUGGACUUUCCUCUUGUUUUCUCACCAUCCCACUUGAGAUGCUUAUUAGUAGCUGUUACAGGAAAUACAGAAUCCUACUAGAGGCCAGAAAAAAUGUUCCAGACACUGAUGGAAGGCCCUCACUUCUGCCUGUUGGCUUCAAUACGCCUGAAGGUAGGGAGUGCCAGGUCUACCGCCAGACUCCAAUGGUGGGUCUCUGAGGGGCUGGAAAACACCCCACCAAUUUGGCUAAGGUAAGAAAAAGAUAUGAAGAAACUUGAGGGGUUAAGCUAAGUUGCUGAGAGAGUUAGUGUAAGUUGCAGAGAAAGUAAGGUUGACGUGUGGUUCAGGGUAUAUAACAGAGAGACUGAGGAAGAGAAAGAGGUAAGAAGACAGAAAGAAGAGGCUAGAGAGCUAAAGAGAGAUAAAAGGCAGGGGAAGAACUUGUACUGGCCACAGUAGUUAGAGAGACUAGGAAGACAGUACCUGGCAACAGAAGAGAAUUUCUGGCUAAAGAUCAGAGUGCCGAUUGUAAGAAAAAGGACACUUGGAUCAGGGACUUCCACAGGAUAGAGGGAAGCCCAAUCAGUGUUUUGUGGAUACAGGGACCCAACGCUCUGUGCUCUUACGCCCCAGUGGGCCAGUGUCAAUCAAAAGACCUUGGGUACAGUGGGCUACCGGCAACAAACAAUACUUAUGGACUGCCCGAAGAACAGUGGACCUUGGCAUGGGCCAGGUAACCCAGUAGUUCAUCCCUGACUGCCCCUAUCCCUUGCUCAUGAGAAAUUUGCUCUCCAAAAUGGCUUGCGUGGGCUGAAAUGGCUGGGUGAGGCCAUGUAUAUGCAUAUCUGCAGACUGUGUAUGUGGAGCUUAAGACCCAGGCUGACCCUGUCUCAGUGCACCAAUACCUGAUGCUGGGAGAUGUCUGGCUUAGUGCUGUUCUGCCUGGAACACACUGCUCCUGACAGCCGGACACUAACAAUUAUUACCCAAUCCAGGACUUAAAACUGUGGUAGAGGGCUGAUGUUUUGCCUUUGAAUGGAAUGUCUCAGAGGAUGGGACCACUGGUUAGCUGCCAUGGACUAGAUUCUCCACCGGUUGGGGGCAAUCUGGUCACCUUGCUGCCCAAUCCUGACCUGAAGCCACCACAGCACAAGUAUCAAGUACUGGCAGAAGCCCAUGGGUGGAGGGAAGACCUCUGUGACUGACUGAUCGACCCCUGCUGAAAGCUGAAGCUACCUUGUCUACACACAGGAACAGUUCUCUUCAUGAAGGUCAGAGAUGAAUGGGUACUGCCAUGGUGGACAACACAAAUGUCAUCUGGGAUGGACAAACCUCUACCCCACAGCACAUCAGCGCAGAUGCCUUUGCAAUCUCUUGGAUGCCCUGAUGUAGCCAGCAACUGUGAGUAUUAUUCAUUGCCCAGGACAUCAGGAGGGAAGAGAUUCAGUGGCAUGGGCAGUAACAAAGCAGAUAAAGUGGCUCAGGAAAUGGCUAUGCAGGAGCCUAUCCUGGUUACAGGCCUGCAAGAGACAGCCACUGGGAACUGGAAUUGGACUAAGGGAUGGCCUCACUUAAAAUGUACAACAGAAUAAAAGGCCCAAAUUGCUUAAAAGAAAAAAAGACAAUGGCACACUUGAGGGAAAACUAUAUUCCUCAGAGAACAAACAAAAGACUCACUUUGCCAAAUACAGAAAUGGACUCAUUUAGGAGAUAAGAAGCUUGUCCAAGUAGUUAAGGUAUAUGUAAUAGACUUUAAGAUUUUAGCCAGAGAGGCAGUGAAAAAUAUAAGGUAUGUCAGUAAGUGAAUGCUUAGCAAGCAAACAGGGCAAAGAGACCUAGAGAGUUUAGAAGAAAGUCGAAGUGAACUUCACUGAGAUAAAACCAGGAAUAUGGGCUGGAGAGAUGGCUCAGCGGUUAAGAGCACCCGACUGCUCUUCCAGAGGUCAUGAGUUCAAUUCCCAGCAACCACAUGGUGGCUCACAACCAUCUGUAAGGAGAUCCGGUGCCCUCUUCUGGUGUGUCUGAAGACAGCUACAGUGUACUUAUAUAUAAUAAAUGAAUAAAUCUUAAAAAAAAAAGAUUAUUCCUUAAAAAAAAAAACCAGGAAUAUAUGAUCACAAGUAUCUCCUAGAGCUUGUAGAUACCUUUUCAGGAAUAGAUAGAAGCUUUCCUCACAAGCAAGAGAUGGCCUCAGAAACUUUCCUCACCAAGUAAGAGACAGCCUCGGUAGUCAUCAAGAAGAUACUGGAAGAAAUCUCCCUCCACCCCCACCCGGUCUGGAGUGUCCAAGGCAAUCUGGUCAGACAACGGCCCUACUUUCAUUGCCAGGGUAAGCCAGGGUGUGGCCAAGUAUUUAGAGGUCGAUUAGAAAUUACAUUACAUUACAGACCUCAAAGUUCAGGACAGGUAGAGAGAAUAAAUAAAACUCUAAAAGAGACCCUGACCAAAUUGACCAUGGAGACUGGCGCGACUGGGUGGCACUCCUUCCCUCUUGCUCUCUUCAGAGUAAGAAAUGUCCCUUCUAGAUUCACCCUUACCCACUUUGAGAUCUUUUUUUUUUUUUUUUUUUUUGGUUCUUUUUUUCGGAGCUGGGGACCGAACCCAGGGCCUUGCGCUUCCUAGGUAAGCCACUUUGAGAUCUUAUAUGAGGCCUCAGCUCCUCUGACUGUAUUAGAUGAUGCUACUGAACCAACAUGUCAUAGUAAUAAUGAUUUGUAUGCCAGGCUAAAAGACCUACAGGUGAUACAGAAAGAAAUCUGGUCAUAGCUGGCAGCAGCCUAUACCCCAGGGACCCCCGAGACAUCUCAUCAGUUCCAGGUUGGAGACUCGGAUACAUACAAUGACACGGAGCCCAGACACUCGAGCCUCACUGGAAAGGACUGUACUUGGUGCUACUGACCACCCUGACAGCCGUCAAGUCUCAGCCCUCACCAGCCGUGUACUAGCUGUUGGGGCUGAGAGCUGGGACCUAGAGGGACACUCAGAUCUUCAAAAAGCUCCCUGGACCUACACGUCAAAUAAGUGGGUACAUCAGAGAUGUGACUGGUGGGGUUACUAUAAUGCUCACUUGAGGAGUGUGCUUUAGAAACAAGAAUUUCAUGUUUGCCCUAGGUUCCAUUGGGAUAGGUGUGGGGAUAGGCUUGAUUUCUAUUGCAAAUGAUGUAACAUUGUAUAUGUUAGUACUCCUAACACUUCUUGGGACUGUGCCUCAGGCAGGGAUCACAACCUGUAUAAGUUUAGAAGUUCUAAAAGGCAGUCAUGACCUUGGUGUGUAGGUUCAGAUAGUGUCCAGAUUGGAAUCCUGAUGCUAAAGACUUAGUAAGACACAAAAGAGAGUUGAGAAUUACUUAGGGCUAUCUUAAGGCUGAGUCUAGGUGCUGCAAGGGCAGCUACAAGGACAUCUGCUGUUGCCCUGCAACACAAGGCUUAUGGAGAAUCCAGAACUGCCAUUGACUUAGAUAUAGAAAGAGUAAAAAAGACAUUUUAGUGACCUCCAAGAAUCCCUAACCUCCCUGUCAGAGGUAGUCCUUCAGAAUAAGAGAAGAUUAGACUUGAUAUUCCUUAAAGAAGGAGGUCUGUGUGCUACACUAAAGGAAAAAUGUUGCUUCUAUGUAGACCAUUCAGGAGUAAUUAAAGACUCCAUGAGUAAACUUAGAGAAAGGUUAGACAAAAGACAGAGAGACCGAGAAGCACAUCAGGCAUGGUUCGAGAGCUGGUUUAGUAGAUCUCCUUGGAUGACUACUCUGAUAUCUUCCCUUAUGGGACCCUUCUUAGUUUUGCUUCUGCUUAUGAUUAUAGGUCCAUGUGUGUUAAAGAAACUAUGUUCUCAAGGGAUGGAUGGAUUGUAUGUUUAAGUGGGCAAUUAUAUCUUAUCAAUUGGAUCUAAGAUUAUUGUGUUGUGUGUUCUUUUAUGUGAGGGUUUGAGUGUAAGAAAGUGUGCGGUGACUAGAGACACUGGGCUGCUGCGGCGAAGUUGGGAUGUGUUUCCAUCAAGAUAUCUAGCAGAUAUCUUGGGGCACCACGGUGCAGACCUAGCAGGUAAAAGACCACAAUACUUUUUCUAAUUUUAUAUUUUACAACAACAUUAACCAAUAAGAAUAUAGGCUCCUUGGGGGCUGAAGAAAUGGCUCAGUAGUUAAGAGCCCCGACUGCUCUUCCAGAGGUCCUGAGUUCAAUUCCCAGCAACCACAUGGUGGCUCACAACCAUCUGUAAAGAGAUCUGAUGCCCUCUUCUGGUGUAUCUGGAGACAGCUACAGUGUACUUAUAUAUAAUAAAUGAAUAAAUCUUAAAAAAAAAAAGAAUAUAGGCUCCAAGAUUAUAAACAUUAUAGACUGAAGUAUAUUCUAACUGAAAGAAUAAAAAAUGCAGCCCAAAAAGUCAGAAGUUUAGAAAUGCUGUCUCACCCCUAAGAAGCCCUAAAUACCUCAAAUUCCAGACCCUGCUCUCUGCCUGUAAGUAAAAGGUCACAUUUCCUGAGCCUGCUCUCCCAGAAACUAGAUAAAAGGACUUAAGAUAAGGCCCUUAAAUAUGCGAUUCCCGACCUAAUAAAGAUAACAGAAAGCUUCUCCCAGGAACUAGCAGACCAUAAAGUUAGAUUAAAAUCUUAGAGAACAACCUUGAGAAGCAGGUACUCCUAGGAACUAGCAGACCAUACCAUAAAGUUAAGCAAUCUUGAGAGACAGGAAGCUUCUCCUUGUGAUUUUCCAAUGAUGCCAUCCCUGCCCCCUUGGGUUGUGGCUUCUUCCUUUAAAUACCCCUUCUCCCAGCUACUGGUCUUUGAACUCCUGUGCCCCUGUGUGGGAUACGAGUCUCGACCCCAGUGCACUGGUUCCUAUCAAUAAACCUCGUGUAAAUUACAGCAA